rnacentral:rRNA from 1 species
ACAAUGGCAUGCUUAGUAGCGGCGAGUGAGCGGCAAAAGCUCAAAUUUGAAAUCUGGCGCCUUCGGUGUCCGAGUUGUAAUUUGAAGAUUGUAACCUUGGGGUUGGCUCUUGUCUAUGUUUCUUGGAACAGGACGUCACAGAGGGUGAGAAUCCCGUGCGAUGAGAUGCCCAAUUCUAUGUAAGGUGCUUUCGAAGAGUCGAGUUGUUUGGGAAUGCAGCUCUAAGUGGGUGGUAAAUUCCAUCUAAAGCUAAAUAUUGGCGAGAGACCGAUAGCGAACAAGUACAGUGAUGGAAAGAUGAAAAGAACUUUGAAAAGAGAGUGAAAAAGUACGUGAAAUUGUUGAAAGGGAAGGGUUUGAGAUCAGACUCGAUAUUUUGUGAGCCUUGCCUUCGUGGCGGGGUGACCCGCAGCUUAUCGGGCCAGCAUCGGUUUGGGCGGUAGGAUAAUGGCGUAGGAAUGUGACUUUACUUCGGUGAAGUGUUAUAGCCUGCGUUGAUGCUGCCUGCCUAGACCGAGGACUGCGAUUUUAUCAAGGAUGCUGGCAUAAUGAUCCCAAACCGCACGUCUACAACCACGGACC